rnacentral:rRNA from 1 species
GAUGAACGCUGGCGGCGUGCCUAAUACAUGCCAGUCGAGCGAACGGACGAGAAGCUUGCUUCUCUGAUGUUAGCGGCGGACGGGUGAGUAACACGUGGAUAACCUACCUAUAAGACUGGGAUAACUUCGGGAAACCGGAGCUAAUACCGGAUAAUAUUUUGAACCGCAUGGUUCAAAAGUGAAAGACGGUCUUGCUGUCACUUAUAGAUGGAUCCGCGCUGCAUUAGCUAGUUGGUAAGGAAACGGCUUACCAAGGCAACGAUGCAUAGCCGACCUGAGAGGGUGAUCGGCCACACUGGAACUGAGACACGGUCCAGACUCCUACGGGAGGCAGCAGUAGGGAAUCUUCCGCAAUGGGCGAAAGCCUGACGGAGCGACGCCGCGUGAGUGAUGAAGGUCUUCGGAUCGUAAAACUCUGUUAUUAGGGAAGAACAUAUGUGUAAGUAACUGUGCACAUCUUGACGGUACCUAAUCAGAAAGCCACGGCUAACUACGUG